CCAUGCCCUGCUCCAAAGAGACACCUGUCAUUUCCCCCGGCAAGUGGGUCUGGCUUGCACAGGAGGGUGGGGUGGGGCAUGUAGCUCCACCUUGCCUGGUUCUGGACUCAACCUGGGAGCUGGGAGUCCACACAGGCCGAGGGCUAUGACCUAUACAGUGCAUAUGAUUAUACAGUACCACCUAUGGAAGAAGCUAUCAGACAUUCAGAUAGCUGCUCCUUCUGGGUAUUAUGGAAGAGUAGCUCUACAUUUUGGCUUGGCUGCAACACUUAGGAGCUGGGUAUCUUAGAUGAAGGUUAUAGGAGAAACAUUGGUGUUUUGUCAAAGAAAAGUUUGAAGUCAAAACUUCAAGGUGAUCGAAUUGCACAGCUUAUUUGUGAAUGAAUUUUUUAUCCAGCAAUAGAACUCCAAGUUCUGAAUAACAGUGCUGAAGAGGGUUCCGUAAGUUUUGGUUGCACUGGAA
rnacentral:lncRNA from 1 species